rnacentral:antisense_RNA from 1 species
UGCAAUGGCGGCUGUGCGUCGGAGGACUUCGGUCCUGCCGGGUUCCUGUAUCCCCGGUUUACCAACCUGCGCACAGCUGCCACCCAU